CCUACGGGAGGCUGCAGUAGGGAAUCUUUCACAAUGGGCGAAAGCCUGAUGGAGCAACGCCGCGUGCACGAUGAAGGCCUUCGGGUUGUAAACUGCUUUUAUAAGCGAGAAAUAUGAUGGUAACUUAUGAAUAAGGAUCGGCUAACUACGUGCCAGCAGCCGCGGUCAUACGUAGGAUCCGAGCAUUAUCCGGAGUGACUUGGUGUAAAGAGUUGCGUAGGUGGCAUAAUAAGUAGCUAGUGAAAUCUGGUGGCUCAACCAUUCAGACUAUUAGCUAAACUGUUAAGCUCGAGACCGGUAGGGGUAACUGGAAUUUCUAGUGUAGGAGUGAAAUGCGUAGAUAUUAGAAGGAACACCAAUAGCGUAGGCAGGUUACUGGAACGGUUCUGACGCUGAGGCACGAAAGCGUAGGGAGCAAACGGGAUUAGAUACCCUAGUAGUC
rnacentral:rRNA from 1 species